rnacentral:rRNA from 1 species
AUGCAAGUCGAAGCGGACCGGGAUCUGGAGCUUGCUCUGAUUUGGUCAGCGGCGGACGGGUGAGUAACACGUGGGCAACCUGCCCGCAAGACCGGGAUAACUCCGGGAAACCGGAGCUAAUACCGGAUAACACCGAAGACCGCAUGGUCUUUGGUUGAAAGGCGGCCUUUGGCUGUCACUUGCGGAUGGGCCCGCGGCGCAUUANCUAGUUGGUGAGGUAACGGCUCACCAAGGCGACAAUGCGUAGCCGGCCUGANAGGGUGACCGGCCACACUGGGACUGANACACGGCCCAAACUCCUACGGGAGGCAGCAGUAGGGAAUCUUCCGCAAUGGGCGAAAGCCUGACGGANCGACGCCNCGUGAGCGAAAAAGGCCUUCGGGUCGUAAAGCUCUGUUGUGAGGGACNAAGGAGCGCCGUUCGAAGAGGGCGGCGCGGUGACGGUACCUCACGAGGAAGCCCCGGCUAACUACGUGCCAGCAGCCGCGGUAAUACGUAGGGGGCGAGCGUUGUCCGGAAUUAUUGGGCGUAAAGCGCGCGCAGGCGGUCCCUUAAGUCUGAUGUGAAAGCCCACGGCUCAACCGUGGAGGGUCAUUGGAAACUGGGGGACUUGAGUGCAGGAAAGGAGAGCGGAAUUCCACGUGUAGCGGUGAAAUGCGUAGAGAUGUGGAGGAACACCAGUGGCGAAGGCGGCUCUCUGGCCUGCAACUGACGCUGAGGCGCGAAAGCGUGGGGAGCAAACAGGAUUAGAUACCCUGGUAGUCCACGCCGUAAACGAUGAGUGCUAAGUGUUAGAGGGGUCACACCCUUUAGUGCUGCAGCUAACGCGAUAAGCACUCCGCCUGGGGAGUACGGGCCGCAAGGG